rnacentral:rRNA from 1 species
CCUACGGGAGGCUGCAGUGAGGAAUAUUGGUCAAUGGGCGUAAGCCUGAACCAGCCAAGUAGCGUGCAGGAUGACGGCCCUACGGGUUGUAAACUGCUUUUAUACGGGAAUAACGCGCCUUACGUGUAGUGCUUUGCAGGUACCGUAUGAAUAAGGACCGGCUAAUUCCGUGCCAGCAGCCGCGGUAAUACGGAAGGUCCGGGCGUUAUCCGGAUUUAUUGGGUUUAAAGGGAGCGUAGGCCGCAUGUCAAGCGUGCUGUGAAAUGUCGGGGCUCAACCAGGGCCUUGAGGCGCGAACUGGCGUGCUUGAGUGCGCGGAAAGCAUGCGGAAUUCGUGGUGUAGCGGUGAAAUGCUUAGAUAUGACGAAGAACCCCGAUUGCGAAGGCAGCUUGCGGCAGCGGAACUGACGCUGAUGCUCGAAAGCGCGGGUAUCGAACAGGAUUAGAUACCCGAGUAGUC